rnacentral:rRNA from 1 species
GACGAACGCUGGCGGCGUGCUUAACACAUGCAAGUCGAGCGGUAAGGCCCUUUCGGGGGUACACGAGCGGCGAACGGGUGAGUAACACGUGGGUGACCUGCCCUCAGCUCUGGGAUAAGCCUGGGAAACCGGGUCUAAUACUGGAUAUGACUCCAUGACGCAUGUUGUGGGGUGGAAAGCCUUGUGCGGCUGAGGAUGGGCCCGCGGCCUAUCAGCUUGUUGGUGGGGUGANGGCCUACCAAGGCGACGACGGGUAGCCGGCCUGAGAGGGCGACCGGCCACACUGGGACUGAGACACGGCCCAGACUCCUACGGGAGGCAGCAGUGGGGAAUCUUGCACAAUGGGGGCAACCCUGAUGCAGCGACGCCGCGUGGGCGAUGAAGGUCUUCGGAUCGUAAAGCCCUUUUCUGCGUGACGAGGAGAGGACGGUAGCGCAGGGAAGAAGCGUC